GAAAGCCACGGCUAACUACGUGCCAGCAGCCGCGGUAAUACGUAGGUGGCAAGCGUUAUCCGGAAUUAUUGGGCGUAAAGCGCGCGUAGGCGGUUUUUUAAGUCUGAUGUGAAAGCCCACGGCUCAACCGUGGAGGGUCAUUGGAAACUGGAAAACUUGAGUGCAGAAGAGGAAAGUGGAAUUCCAUGUGUAGCGGUGAAAUGCGCAGAGAUAUGGAGGAACACCAGUGGCGAAGGCGACUUUCUGGUCUGUAACUGACGCUGAUGUGCGAAAGCGUGGGGAUCAAACAGGAUUAGAUACCCUGGUAGUCCACGCCGUAAACGAUGAGU
rnacentral:rRNA from 1 species